UACGGAGGGUGCAAGCGUUGUCCGGAAUCACUGGGCGUAAAGGGCGCGUAGGCGGCUCAUGAAGGCUGUGGUGAAAGUCCGGGGCUCAACCUCGGAUCGGCCGUGGCGACUCGUGGGCUGGAGCACUGUAGAGGCGGGUGGAAUUCCGGGUGUAGCGGUGGAAUGCGCAGAUAUCAGGAGGAACACCGAUGCGAAGGCAGCCCCCUGGGCUGACACUGACGCUCAGGCACGAAAGCGUGGGGAGCAAACAGG
rnacentral:rRNA from 1 species